GGUCCCUUUCGUCCAGUGGUUAGGACAUCGUCUUUUCAUGUCGAAGACACGGGUUCGAUUCCCGUAAGGGAUGGCUACUCUUUCCCGGCCGCUUUCAGUUAGUGUUCAUUGCUGAGUGAUCGCUCGCUAUCUGGCUUGAAAAGGUGGUCCGGAAGCUUUCUCUCUCCCAGCAAGCAAGACGAGAUCACCACUUCUCUCAGUAAUGGACUUCCUUUAAUUCUUCCUUAGCCUUAGAUGUCCUAUCAUAGAUUAUCGAACCUCCGACAGACAGAAUCCCCAUGCAUGCGUUCUUUCUCUCCUCCCCUCAGCCAUACAUCUCUUUUUUUUUUCUUUUGGCCGUUUUUCUUAGGCAUUGAACCCCACCUUAGGUGCUGAGUGGUGUCCUCCCCUCCCUAAUACCUAAAAAAAAGUUCCGUCUAUGGAGCUUAAAGCUUAAACCAUGGCAUGCUUGACUCAGAAUUGGCAGCAGUAAGUUGGCCUAGUCUCUUGCCCAGCCUUCGCCUUCUUCAGUGGCCAAGUUGAAGCGUUCAACGGUUCUUCGGCCUACCACCUUUCUUUUUCAAGGUUGAGCUUGUUCAAUGGAAGCUAAUGCUAUGCUGCCCUUCCCUUGUUCACAACAGAGAAGGCGAGGACUUUCUUUUAGCUACCGGCCCAAACAAAAGAGAUUAGCCUCUUGAUCGAUCGAUUGAUUGGAUUGCAGUACGAAGGGGUUUAAGAAGGAGGCAUUGGAGAGAAGUAGGCAUGGUGGCCAACCAAGGCAGUGAAAUCGAGACAAUCAGUCAAGUUAGGAAGAGGGUUUAGUUAGGAGUCCGGGUUCCAUCCUAUAAGUUGAAGGAAGGGAGCAAAGGAAGUUCUCUUUGCCCUUAGUCUUGGGUUCAGUGAAUAGGGAACUUAGGUUUGUCUUAUUCCCUAGCUGAGUGAAUAGGCCGAUCUUUCGUAUAGUGAUAACGCUUUCUCUUUCUUAUAGGGGUCUCUUUUCUCUGACUUGACUCAGCUUGACCUACUUGACUCAGCGGUUAGAGUAUCGCUUUCAUACGGCGAGAGUCAUUGGUUCAAAUCCAAUAGUAGGUAAGGCCGAAAGCCCUGCUUUUGCCAGCAUGACAGCAAGCACGGAUUCCGACUGGCGGAGUUGAAUGACCAAAGCAUCGUCCGCAUGCGAAUCCGCC